UUUUCAGCAAAAUUCGUUCUCCCUCUCAAAGGAAUCGUUCUCCCUCCCAAAGUUCCUCCUCGAUCCCCUGAACCCAAACCAAUCGGCGGCAGCCCUCACGGCGAAAACCCUAAUUACUAACUGGCUGCAACGCUCUCCUCACCUAACCGGCGGCUACAAACCCUAAUCGGAGCUUGAAUUGAUCGGCAAAUAGAGGUGAUGUUGCAGUUGUUCCAGCUUUAGGCGGUUGUUCACUCACCACCAUUUGUUCGAUUUAUGAGGAAGGGCUGGUUGCCUGAUUAGGGUUCCGACAACUCCGUGUUGAUCUAUCCCCAG
rnacentral:lncRNA from 1 species